AUGCGCGUGUGUGUUUCCCGCGGGGAUUAGAGGGUCAGAUUAAAGAUUGGUAGAAAUAAAUAUUCGCCAAAUCCAGCCCUCAUCUACCCCUUACCCCAACUCUCUUACCCCAGCCUGGGGUUUGAAUUAAUGUGUUUCUAUUUUUGGCUCUACCGUGUUUCCAGGGGAAACCUAAUGACGCAAUGACGUCAAUGCAGGUCACCAGCAAGAAGCAGACUGGAGGAAUUGAGUGGCUUCCAUUAGAGGUUUUGCAGCAUUUUCCGGAGACGGGGGAGAAGCAGGGCAAUACAAAUAGAUUAAGAAUGAGAAAUGCACAGAUCGAGAAAGUGAACACAUGCGGAGCGAAAUAAACGGGAACCGACGCAACUGACGUCCGGGGAAAGAAAUGAUUGAGGGCGGGUGAGAGGGUGGAGGGGUGGCGGUAGUGGUGCUGAGGGGACCCUACUGCUGCAUAUCAAUGGGUGCCGUACAAAUUCCCAGGGAUUAUUGGAAAGGAAAAUGGGGGGCAAGGAUGCACGCUUCGUCGGAUCGGUGACGACUGGGUCCUGAGGACACCGCCUCGGGGAAAAGAGAACAAAAAUGUCAAGAAUUUGUCCUUUGUGGGUCUUUUUGCGGUCUGGGCUUGCUGUUCCUAAGGCAGUAGCCAGGAAGCCCUUACCCCAAAAAGUAUCUGCGAUGGAUUCUGGCACCUGAAGCAGACGUCCUUGUUUCUCGCUGAUGAAGCUUCGCUUAUCUCUCAAAUCGGAGUCUUUCACAGUGGGGAAGCUGUUGAUCCUGAAAGAAACCUCAGACGAAGGCCUGACUCAAGAGGGUGUGGCUUUUUAAUCAGCAUUUAAUGUUUUAAAUAGGGUAAAUAUAAAAGGUUUAACGCGGGAUGUGGCGGAAUGUUCUCUUUAUCCAGAGCAACUAAGAAGAGAGAAAUUCAAUUGAAGACAAUCAAAGUAGCGUAAAAAAACAUUAAGAAACAGAAAGCAAGUGGCCUUGCCUUUUCGGGAAUUUUGCUGCCUUUUAUUAUUUUUUGUGGGGCAAAUGUUUCAAACACGGUCAAAUUAGAUAUUAAUUAAUCAAUUGCCAUUUUACAUUUACAAAACAUUUUUCCCUAUAUUGUACAUUUCCAGUAUCCAGUCCUUUCUGUUUAGAUUCUGCUUUUUCCAACAUAAACACUACAACCCCAAAUACAUGGCAUAGCAUUCACAAAGUCCCCCUUUGAAGGCCCACAAAUAUGCUACAUGCACUGAAUAAAGCUCAAAUGUUGGGGGAAAAUGGACGCGUCGCUUGAAGCCUUUGAUGUACUAUGUGUUACAUUAAUGCGAUUAUUUAUCCAAAGCCACGAGCCUUGACAGUGGAGUUUAUGUCUAUCAAAACCAGAGGCACUUUUUGUGCUUUGACGAAGUCAUUGUGACGUCAUUGUUCACAAAGCAUUAAGAUGCUCUGAAUAAACGCCACACUCAAGCACCGACAGUGUUCUUUUACAUAAAACACAAUUAGGAACACAAAAUGGGCUAGAUCGCAUAGACCAGUUCGUCUCUGUAAUGGCAGUGCUUUCCCUCUUUACUAUAUUUGUGUCAUUUUACCCUUUUCUGUGUGAGCCAGGCUAAAUCAAACACCUUUAAGAGACACGUAAAGAUUUUCACACUAUACAAGCGUUCUAAUUUUAGGUCUGAAAGAGAAACUCCAACUAUUCUCACAGGAAAUACACACCCUUUUCCCGAAUGACAGAGUCGACCAGGUGCAGGUGGAAAGUUUUUAUUUUCUCUUUCUCCUUUUUUUUUUUUUACGUCAUGUCUGGUUGCCUGCAGCUACCAAUAGCCAAACAAGUUCUUCUAACUGGAGCUGGAUAUUCCCGGUUUAAACAACAUCCCCUCCGUUUGUGUGUCACACUUCGCCCUUGGAAAUAGGGCAAUGACUCAUCCGUGUUAUCAGAUAGAAUCGUGGGGUGUGGAUGCACUUUUGCUCUUCUUCCUCUUGUAACAGAGUAAAUUGAUUUUGUAACCACAAGCGACAGCGGUUUCACUCUUUACUUUUUUUUUAAUCUACUAUUUUUUGCUGUAUAUCUGUUACCGAUGGCUUCUUGUACUUGGAGCUCCCACAACGUUCUGUCGUAAUAAACCCUUUUAAUUUUACAAAUCGUUUUGAGAGUGUAUUACUAAUGAAUAAGGAAGAAACUUAGCCGAGAAAUUUAUCUAAUUAAAAGUCAGAAUGCAAUCUCCAGGAAACACCUUAGACUUGCUUGAGAUGCACAGAAACCCAGAGCAAAUUUCCAAAAUGCCUCAAGAUCUUCCAUUAAUGCGGUGUGAUCUUCUUAAAGGCUGAAGAAGAA